AUACAGAGGGUGCAAGCGUUAAUCGGAAUUACUGGGCGUAAAGGGCGUGUAGGCGGGAAAUCAGGUGUCGUGUGAAAGCCCCGGUCUCAACCCGGGAAUGGCACGGCAAACCGGUUUUCUUGAGGCGAGUAGAGGUGACUGGAACAACUGGUGGAGCGGUGAAAUGCGUAGAUAUCAGUUGGAACGCCGGAGGCGAAAGCGGGUCACUGGACUCGUCCUGACGCUGAGACGCGAAAGCGUGGGUAGCAAACAGGAUUAGAAACCCCAGUAGUCC
rnacentral:rRNA from 1 species